rnacentral:lncRNA from 1 species
CCUUGUGUGUAUCCAACGUCACAACGUAACUGGGUGACUAUAAAGGUGCUCUACAGGUAUCUCCGAAGGUGUCUGUUGGGUUGGCGUGAAUCGAGACUAAGAUUUUUCACUCCGUAUGACGGAGAGUUAUCUCUAGGGCCCACUCGGCAAUACAACAUCAAAAUGAGCUUGCAAGCAAUGUGACCAAGGAGUUAGUCAUGGGAUCUUGUAUUACAGAAUGAGUAAAGAGACUUUCCGGUAACGUGAUUGAGCUAGGUAUGGAGAUACCAACGAUCGAAUCUCGGGCAAGUAACAUACCAAUGGACAAAGGGAACAGUAUACGGGAUUGAUUAAAUCCUUGACAUCGUGGUUCAACCGAUAAAGAUCUUCGUAGAAUAUGUAGGAGCCAAUAUGGGCAUCCAUGUCCCGCUAUUGGUUAUUGACCGGAGAGUGUCUCGGUCAUGUCUACAUAGC